UCCGCCGUGGUGUAACGGCAGCACCUCGGAUUUUGGUUCCGAUAGUCCAGGUUCGAAUCCUGGCGGCGGAGC
rnacentral:tRNA from 1 species